rnacentral:rRNA from 1 species
GCUCGUAGUUGGAUUUGUGGCGGUCCCUGCGGUCCAAUUUUGGUACUGCCGGGGACCGCCAUCCUUGGGUGGAUCCUGUGUGGCAUUAGGUUGUCGUGCAGGGGAUGCCCAUCGUUUACUGUGAAAAAAUUAGAGUGUUCAAAGCAGGCUGACGCCGUUGAAUAUAUUAGCAUGGAAUAAUGAGAUAGGACCUUGGUACUAUUUUGUUGGUUUGCGCACCGAGGUAAUGAUUAAUAGGGACAGUUGUGGGUAUUCGUAUUCCAUUGUCAGAGGUGAAAUUCUUGGAUUUCUGGAAGACGAACUAAUGCGAAAGCAUUUAUCAAGGAUGUUUUCAUUAAUCAAGAACGAAAGUUAGGGGAUCGAAGAUGAUUAGAUACCAUCGUAGUCUUAACCAUAAACCAUGCCGACAAGGGAUUGGCGGGGUCUCGUUAC